GUUUUAACAUGGAAGGGCGAAAGAAGGGUUGAUACCUGACCAUGAGAAACGGUAUCAGGAAGGCGAAGCUUCACCUCCACCUCCAUUUCGACUGUUUUAAGAGGAGAUACCAAGCCGCUGGGCUUUGGAGGUCUGAUCUUUGUUGCGGUUGAUGUUGUGAAGGAGGGAGGCGGCGGCAGUGGUCGCGUCAGUGGCGGUGGUGGUGGCGGCGCGUUUGCGAGCUUGUUCGAGUUCUUCCUUGUCUUCGAUUUUGACCUCGAUCUUGCUGGGUUGUCUUCUCAGCAUUUCGCUAGUGCUCACUGCUCAGAGCAAUGAGAAUACAACCCAG
rnacentral:misc_RNA from 1 species